AUACGGAGGGUGCAAGCGUUAAUCGGAAUUACUGGGCGUAAAGCGUACGUAGGCGGUCCGUUAAGUUAGAUGUGAAAGCCCCGGGCUUAACCUGGGAACUGCAUUUAAAACUGGCGGACUAGAGUUGAGUAGAGGGGAGUGGAAUUUCAGGUGUAGCGGUGAAAUGCGUAGAGAUCUGAAGGAACACCAGUGGCGAAGGCGACUCCCUGGACUCGAACUGACGCUGAGGUACGAAAGCGUGGGUAGCAAACGGGAUUAGAAACCCGAGUAGUCC
rnacentral:rRNA from 1 species